GACCGCAGAACUCAAAGAGUGAGAUUCGCAUCAAACUACCACACUAGCUAGCACGUCUAGUACGUUCCAGCACUCCGCAUUAGUCUCGCACAGGAUGCACCUUGGUCUGCCGGGCCAAUGGGUAUGCGGGGCUGGCGAGGAGGAUCUAGAGGAUUAGCUGACUGUCAACCACGCGAGCUGGGAUGGGCGAGGGUGGCGGAUGAGAAUCAGAGCGGGGAAAGAUGAAGUAGUCUGCUUCAACGGUGGUUUUCAUGGGAUUCCUCUCGAGAAUGAGUUCUAAAAGCGUUUUCCUCCCUGUUUCUUCCCGUCAUUCAACAACCAAUCCCC
rnacentral:sRNA from 1 species